GGUAGUUUAGUGGUUAGGACGCGUCCCUGGUAAGAGUGAGACGUGGGUUCAACUCCUGCCAGGGGCU